GACGAACGCUGGCGGCGUGCCUAAUACAUGCAAGUUGAGCGAUGAAGAUUGGUGCUUGCACCAAUUUGAAGAGCAGCGAACGGGUGAGUAACGCGUGGGGAAUCUGCCUUUGAGCGGGGGACAACAUUUGGAAACGAAUGCUAAUACCGCAUAACAACUUUAAACAUAAGUUUUAAGUUUGAAAGAUGCAAUUGCAUCACUCAAAGAUGAUCCCGCGUUGUAUUAGCUAGUUGGUGAGGUAAAGGCUCACCAAGGCGAUGAUACAUAGCCGACCUGAGAGGGUGAUCGGCCACAUUGGGACUGAGACACGGCCCAAACUCCUACGGGAGGCAGCAGUAGGGAAUCUUCGGCAAGGGACGAAAGGCUGACCGAGCAACGCCGCGUGAGUGAAGAAGGUUUUCGGAUCGUAAAACUCUGUUGGUAGAGAAGAACGUUGGUGAGAGUGGAAAGCUCAUCAAGUGACGGUAACUACACAGAAAGGGACGGCUAACUACGUG
rnacentral:rRNA from 1 species